GGUAUAUUCAGUGCCAAGUCUAGACUUACAAUGGAGCUGAGAGCCAGAAACUGGAUUGAUGUUUGCUGUCUUCUUCGUACAGGCUCGUUGGUGUUGCAGAUGGAGGAACUUGAGAACUGCCAUGCUGGUGCUGCUGUUCUGGUGUCUGUGCUGCUGACCAUCAUCAGUAACAAACACCUUCAAGGAAGGCGAGUGUUCCUGAGCACUGGGAUGACUGUCAUCGGCAUGGCUAGACUGAUAAAGACACAUUAGUAUUCAUCUGUUGAAAAGCUUUUGUAUGACUGGCCAGAUGGAUUGUUACUGCACUGAUACUUGACAUCUGAUCAAAAGGAUCUGGGAUAGCAGAGAUGCAGGUAAAUUGACAAAUGUGUGUAUGUGGUGUGAAGGAGGAUGGGUUAGGAGCUGGAAGACUUUGUGG
rnacentral:lncRNA from 1 species